rnacentral:rRNA from 1 species
AUUGAACGCUGGCGGCAGGCUUAACACAUGCAAGUCGAACGGUAGCAGGAAGAAAGCUUGCUUUCUUUGCUGACGAGUGGCGGACGGGUGAGUAAUGCUUGGGAAUCURGCUUAUGGAGGGGGAUAACUGUGGGAAACUGCAGCUAAUACCGCGUAAUCUCUGAGGAGUAAAGGGUGGGACCUCUUGGCCACCUGCCAUAAGAUGAGCCCAAGUGGGAUUAGGUAGUUGGUGGGGUAAAGGCCUACCAAGCCUGCGAUCUCUAGCUGGUCUGAGAGGAUGACCAGCCACACUGGAACUGAGACACGGUCCAGACUCCUACGGGAGGCAGCAGUGGGGAAUAUUGCGCAAUGGGGGGAACCCUGACGCAGCCAUGCCGCGUGAAUGAAGAAGGCCUUCGGGUUGUAAAGUUCUUUCGGUAAUGAGGAAGGGAUGUUAUUAAAUAGAUGGCAUCAUUGACGUUAAUUACAGAAGAAGCACCGGCUAACUCCGUGCCAGCAGCCGCGGUAAUACGGAGGGUGCGAGCGUUAAUCGGAAUAACUGGGCGUAAAGGGCACGCAGGCGGACUUUUAAGUGAGAUGUGAAAUCCCCGAGCUUAACUUGGGAAUUGCAUUUCAGACUGGGAGUCUAGAGUACUUUAGGGAGGGGUAGAAUUCCACGUGUAGCGGUGAAAUGCGUAGAGAUGUGGAGGAAUACCGAAGGCGAAGGCAGCCCCUUGGGAAUGUACUGACGCUCAUGUGCGAAAGCGUGGGGAGCAAACAGGAUUAGAUACCCUGGUAGUCCACGCUGUAAACGCUGUCGAUUUGGGGAUUGGGCUAUAUGCUUGGUGCCCGAAGCUAACGUGAUAAAUCGACCGCCUGGGGAGUACGGCCGCAAGGUUAAAACUCAAAUGAAUUGACGGGGGCCCGCACAAGCGGUGGAGCAUGUGGUUUAAUUCGAUGCAACGCGAAGAACCUUACCUACUCUUGACAUCCAGAGAAGCUUGCAGAGAUGCGAGUGUGCCUUCGGGAGCUCUGAGACAGGUGCUGCAUGGCUGUCGUCAGCUCGUGUUGUGAAAUGUUG